UACGUAGGGGCCAAGCGUUUGUCCGGAUUUAUUGGGCGUAAAGAGCUCGUAGGCGGUUCGGCAAGUCAGCUGUGAAAUCUCCACGCUCAACGUGGAGGGGUCAGCUGAUACUGCUGUGACUCGAGUCCGGUAGGGGAGUGGUGGAAUUCCCGGUGUAGCGGUGAAAUGCGCAGAUAUCGGGAGGAACACCAGUAGCUGAAGGCGGCACUCUGGGCCGGUACUGACGCUGAGGAGCGAAAGCGUGGGGAGCAAACAGG
rnacentral:rRNA from 1 species